GACAAACAGGUCAAGUUAAGAUUUAUUGGUAUAAAAGGAGGUUAAAUAUUUAUCUAAAAAGAAAAUAUCUUCUAAUAUAGAGGUGGAAUUCGGAUAAUAGUUGAUGUUUUAGGUUUCUUUUUAAUUUGAUGCCUCGAAAUUUUUUUAGAAGACCGGGAUUAGAUACCCCGUUAUUUUAAAUAUAAACUAUGAUUGUUAAAAUAAUCUACCUGAGUAUUACGAGCUGUAAUUUUUCAAUUGCUUAAAACUCAAAAAACUUGGCGGUGCUUUAUUUCCUUCCAGGGGAACCUGUCCUUUAAACGAUAGUCCACGAUUUAACUUACUUUUUAUUGUAUAAUUUUAUAUAAAUUAACAGCUUGUAUACCGUCGUCGUCAGAGUACUUUUAAAAAUAUAGAAGUUGUCAAGGUAAAGAAUUAUUUAAUUAAGCUUAAUGUAAAUUAAAUUUAAUUUUAAGAUGUCAGAUCAAGGUGCAGCUAAUGAAAAAGUAGAGAUGGGUUACAAUACUUAUUUAGUAUAUGGAUUUUAAAAUGUAAUUUUUAAUAAAAGCGGACUUGGGAGUAAUUGAAUUACUUAAUAAGAUAGUUUCUGUGAAAACGGUACUGAGGUGCGU
rnacentral:rRNA from 1 species